rnacentral:rRNA from 1 species
CCUACGGGAGGCAGCAGUGGGGAAUAUUGGUCAAUGGACGAGACUCUGAACCAGCAAAGCAGCGUGAAUGAUGACUGUCUUCUGGUUGGAAAGUUCUUUUCUAAUGGAAGUAAAAUGUUCCACUACCUUAAGAUUAUACCUACGCUAACUACGUGCCAGCAGCCACGGUAAUACGUAGGAGGCGAUCGUUAUCCGGAUUGACUGGUCUUAAAGGUUGCGUAGGUGGAUUGACAAGUUAGUAGCGUAAGUCCGCGGCUCAACCGCGGAAUUACUGCUAAAACUGUCUGUCUUGAGUGCAGGAGAGGUGAGUGGAAUUCGUGGUGUAGCGGUGGAAUGCGUAGAUAUCACGAAGAACACCGAUGGCGAAGGCGAAUCGCUGGACUGCAACUGACACUGAGGCUCGAAAGUGUGGGUAGCAAACAGGAUUAGAUACCCGUGUAGUC